rnacentral:lncRNA from 10 species
GUGAUCUCUUACUGUGCCUAAUUUAUAAAUUACACUUUAUCACAGGUAGGUAUGUAUAGGAAAAAUCAUAGUAUAUAUAUAUAGGAUUUGGUGCUUCCAUACUUUCAGGCAUCCACUGGGAGUCUUGAAACGUGUCGCCCUGGGAUAAGGGGGACAACUGUAUGCACAAUUCUUUGUCCAAAGGACUCAUCCUCCAGGGAGGAAGGGAGAAGGGUGAAGAUGCUCAGAGUACAGGUGGCCACUGGCUCUCCCAGGACAUUCCAUCCAUUUCUGGAACGUCAUUAUGCUUCAGGGAGGUCAUACCGGACACUCACUACUGCUCAACAGCUAAGCAGUAGAAAUGAAAACAGAUGUUCUUUGUACCUUGUUCAGCUCUACCCUGAGUAUUCUAUGGUAGAAACUUCAACCCUUGUCCAUAAAUGGGGACAUUCCGCUGCCUCUUUCUCUCACAGGUGUCAUUUCUGAGCAGGGAAGGUGUGAUCUGGGGCCAGAAUGAAUGGCCCUGGUGACUUCUUACCUGAUUCAUCCCACACCAGUCAGAAGGGGCUGUGAAGGCAGCAGCGAAGGAGCCACACAUGGACGUGGAAUGGGCACGCUGACCAUCAUGGUCACGACUGCAAGAAAGCAGGGCUGCGUGGGUUAAUUGGCUGUGUCUGAGGGUCACCCCUGCACAAGGAGGAUGAUGACGACUGCCCUGUGCAACCCUGGGUCAUCUCAGGGGAGAGCCAUUCCCAGGUUCACAGCAAGCACUCUUUUACUCAGAUGGGCCACCUGCAUCAGGCCCCAAGGAAGCACUUAUUAGUAGAAGAAAAAAAACAAAAACCCAGAAAACAGCCAGUGAGACUAUUUUACAAACAAGCGAAGAGCAGCAACUGAAAGCAACAAUAACUACAACAUAAAUCCCUCUGCAAAUAUUUGGGAUUUCAUUUCCACUAAGGAUAAUGAUGGCGUAGAAGGCAUGUCUGUGGGAGUUAUGCACACAGGGAAAAAGGUGGUGAAAAUAAUCAACCAAAAAUAACAAAAUUCAAUUAAUCAAAACAGAACAAAAUAAAAUGAGCCAAACAGCAUAUCUGAAUAUAAGCAUAAUAAUUGUCGUUGGACAAACCUUUGUCAAAUCAAAUUGGCUUCUAGCACACGGGCUGAUACUUUGUGAUUCAAGUGGUGUUCUACCCACAUAAUUCAUUUAGUUGCAAAGAAUGUAACAAAUAAUGCAAUUAUUCCAGAGGAUCACGGUGAGACAUCUAUUUGGUGGUGCCUUAAGCAGAGUGCCCUGAUUCAGAAGAAUUAGACCAAUCUCUGGAUUCACAGCCACUCAUGAAAACUGUAGGCCGGGCACGGUGGCUCAUGCCUGUAAUCCCAGCACUUUGGGAGGCCAAGGCGGGUGGAUCACGAGGUCAGGUGAUCGAGACCAUCCUGGCUAACAUGGUGAAACCCCGUCUCUACCAAAAAUACAAAAAGAAAUUAGCUGGGAGUGGUGGCGGGCACCUGUAGUCCCAGCUACUCGGGAGGCUGAGGCAGGAGAAUCGCUUGAACCCAGGAGGUGGAGGUUGCCGUGAGCCGAGAUCACGCUACUGCACUCCAAUCUGGGUGACCGAGCAAUACUCCGUCUAAAAAAAAAAAGUAAUAAUAAUAAUAAAAUAGGAAACUGCAGUAACUCGGGACAUCUGGGUUCCUUGUCUUUUGUCAAAAUCACAGGGAAUUCAACUCACUGAAUCUAUUGGUCAAUUCAAUUCCGCCAUUGGUCAGUAUGACUCGGCUUUUGACAGAGAGUUUUACCCAAAGACUUGCAGAACUUCCUUCCUGCAAGAUUUCAGAAGCACAGCAAGCAUUGCAAGAGGAAACUACCUUAUAAAUCAUACAAACCCAGCAUCGUGUUCUUUGCUUGUCCUUGCCUGAAUUUACUGGAAAAUCAUGUUGUGAAACCUAAAUGCAAAUGAACCUUUCUUAUUGCAAAUUAAAAACUAAAUCCAUUUUCAACUGAAUUCAAUGGGAAAAACAAGAAUUAUUUUCCUAAAAAGUAAAUAUCCACCACUCCGUAAUAAUUGUGAUCCGCUGUGGCUUAUGUGUCGUGUCUCAGGACAUGGACUCGGUCCUCUGCAUACCUUACCUCUCAUCCUGCAAUAAUCCUGAACAGGUUCCCAUUAUCCCCAUUUUAGAGGAUUACAGCACAAUUUGUAGCUGGAGUGCUUCUGAAUUGCGAGAAAGCCCU